AGCGAACGCUGGCGGCAGGCUUAACACAUGCAAGUCGAACGGGCUUCUUCGGAAGUCAGUGGCAGACGGGUGAGUAACACGUGGGAACGUGCCCUUCGGUUCGGAAUAACUCAGGGAAACUUGAGCUGAUACCGGAUACGCCCUUUUGGGGAAAGGUUUACUGCCGAAGGAUCGGCCCGCGUCUGAUUAGCUUGUUGGUGGGGUAACGGCCUACCAAGGCGACGAUCAGUAGCUGGUCUGAGAGGAUGAUCAGCCACACUGGGACUGAGACACGGCCCAGACUCCUACGGGAGGCAGCAGUGGGGAAUAUUGGACAAUGGGCGCAAGCCUGAUCCAGCCAUGCCGCGUGAGUGAUGAAGGCCUUAGGGUUGUAAAGCUCUUUUGUCCGGGACGAUAAUGACGGUACCGGAAGAAUAAGCCCCGGCUAACUUCGUG
rnacentral:rRNA from 1 species